UGCACUGUGGCAUAAUGGUUUGAGUGUUAGACUAUGACUCUGGAGACCAGGGUUCAAAUCCCUGCUCAA